rnacentral:rRNA from 1 species
UAAGCCCUACGGGACGCAGCAGUGGGGAAUAUUGGGCAAUGGGCGCAAGCCUGACCCAGCAACGCCGCGUGAAGGAAGAAGGCUUUCGGGUUGUAAACUUCUUUUAAGAGGGAAGAGCAGAAGACGGUACCUCUUGAAUAAGCCACGGCUAACUACGUGCCAGCAGCCGCGGUAAUACGUAGGGGGCAAGCGUUAUCCGGAUUUACUGGGUGUAAAGGGAGCGUAGACGGCAUUGCAAGUCUGAUGUGAAAGAUUGGGGCUCAACCCCAGGCCUGCAUUGGAAACUGUAAAGCUGGAGUACAGGG